rnacentral:rRNA from 1 species
CCUGAUGCAGCAACGCCGCGUGAGGGACGACGGCCUUCGGGUUGUAAACCUCUUUUAGCAAGGAAGAAGCGAGAGUGACGGUACUUGCAGAAAAAGCGCCGGCUAACUACGUGCCAGCAGCCGCGGUAAUACGUAGGGCGCAAGCGUUAUCCGGAAUUAUUGGGCGUAAAGAGCUCGUAGGCGGUUUGUCGCGUCUGCUGUGAAAUCCCGAGGCUCAACCUCGGGUCUGCAGUGGGUACGGGCAGACUAGAGUGCGGUAGGGGAGAUUGGAAUUCCUGGUGUAGCGGUGGAAUGCGCAGAUAUCAGGAGGAACACCGAUGGCGAAGGCAGAUCUCUGGGCCGUAACUGACGCUGAGGAGCGAAAGGGUGGGGAGCAAACAGGCUUAGAUACCCUGGUAGUCCACCCCGUAAACGUUGGGAACUAGUUGUGGGGUCCAUUCCACGGAUUCCGUGACGCAGCUAACGCAUUAAGUUCCCCGCCUGGGGAGUACGGCCGCAAGGCUAAAACUCAAAGGAAUUGACGGGGACCCGCACAAGCGGCGGAGCAUGCGGAUUAAUUCGAUGCAACGCGAAGAACCUUACCAAGGCUUGACAUAUGGAGGAAACGUGCAGAAAUGUACGCCCCGCAAGG